rnacentral:lncRNA from 1 species
AUGUUUUCCUCUCAGUGGUCCAUAGGAUUCUAUUGCCCACUGCUGGAGACUGGAGCACACUGCAGUCCCUUUCAGGUCUAUAGGGCUUUACUGCCCCCUGCUGGAGACUGGAGCACACUGCAGUCCCUUUCAGGUCCAUAGGGUUUUACUGCCCCCUGCUGGAGACUGGAGCACACUGCAGUCCCUUUUACUAAGCAACGCGGUCCUGGAAUUCUCUCCUGAACAUUUUAAAAUGUGAUGAUCUAGUUUCCUUGGUGGAGUUUAAACACUUGAUCGAUGUAUAUAUCAUAGAAGAGUGUUAUUGUCUUUAGGCCAGCUGUUAUUAGUCAAGAUGUUUGUGUUUGUAAUGUAAUAUGUAAUUGUUGUACUGUAUGUGUGUUUAUAGUGUUGUUUAAUGUUGUGUUAAAUAAAGGUAAAAUAAAAACUAUAAUUAAAAAUCAAUACAGAUACUGUAUGUAGAACCAUAGUAAAGACCAGUAUGGACUAUCAAUACAGGUACUGUAUGUAGAACCAUAGUAAAGACCAGUAUGGACUAUCAAUACAGAUACUGUAUGUAGAACCCUAGUAAAGACCAGUAUGGACUAUCAAUACAGGUACUGUAUGUAGAACCAUAGUAAAGACCAGUAUGGACUAUCAAUACAGAUACUGUAUGUAGAACCAUAGUAAAGACCAGUAUGGACUAUCAAUACAGAUACUGUAUGUAGAACCAUAGUAAAGACCAGUAUGGACUAUCAAUACAGAUACUGUAUGUAGAACCAUAGUAAAGACCAGUAUGGACUAUCAAUACAGGUACUGUAUGUAGAACCAUAGUAAAGACCAGUAUGGACUAUCAAUACAGGUACUGUAUGUAGAACCAUAGUAAAGACCAGUAUGGACUAUCAAUACAGAUACUGUAUGUAGAACCAUAGUAAAGACCAGUAUGGACUAUCAAUACAGAUACUGUAUGUAGAACCAUAGUAAAGACCAGUAUGGACUAUCAAUACAGAUACUGUAUGUAGAACCAUAGUAAAGACCAGUAUGGACUAUCAAUACAGAUACUGUAUGUAGAACCAUAGUAAAGACCAGUAUGGACUAUCAAUACAGAUACUGUAUGUAGAACCAUAGUAAAGACCAGUAUGGACUAUCAAUACAGGUACUGUAUGUAGAACCAUAGUAAAGACCAGUAUGGACUAUCAAUACAGAUACUGUAUGUAGAACCAUAGUAAAGACCAGUAUGGACUAUCAAUACAGAUACUGUAUGUAGAACCAUAGUAAAGACCAGUAUGAACUAUCAAUACAGAUACUGUAUGUAGAACCAUAGUAAAGACCAGUAUGGACUAUCAAUACAGAUACUGUAUGUAGAACCAUAGUAAAGACCAGUAUGGACUAUCAAUACAGGUACUGUAUGUAGAACCAUAGUAAAGACCAGUAUGGACUAUCAAUACAGAUACUGUAUGUAGAACCAUAGUAAAGACCAGUAUGGACUAUCAAUACAGAUACUGUAUGUAGAACCAUAGUAAAGACCAGUAUGGACUAUCAAUACAGAUACUGUAUGUAGAACCAUAGUAAAGACCAGUAUGGACUAUCAAUACAGAUACUGUAUGUAGAACCAUAGUAAAGACCAGUAUGGACCAUCAAUACAGAUACUGUAUGUAGAACCAUAGUAAAGACCAGUAUGGACUAUCAAUACAGAUACUGUAUGUAGAACCAUAGUAAGACCAGUAUGGACUAUCAAUACAGAUACUGUAUGUAGAACCAUAGUAAAGACCAGUAUGGACUAUCAAUACAGAUACUGUAUGUAGAACCAUAGUAAAGACCAGUAUGGACUAUCAAUACAGGUACUGUAUGUAGAACCAUAGUAAAGACCAGUAUGGACUAUCAAUACAGAUACUGUAUGUAGAACCAUAGUAAAGACCAGUAUGGACUAUCAAUACAGGUACUGUAUGUAGAACCAUAGUAAAGACCAGUAUGGACUAUCAAUACAGGUACUGUAUGUAGAACCAUAGUAAAGACCAGUAUGGACUAUCAAUACAGAUACUGUAUGUAGAACCAUAGUAAAGACCAGUAUGGACUAUCAAUACAGAUACUGUAUGUAGAACCAUAGUAAAGACCAGUAUGGACUAUCAAUACAGAUACUGUAUGUAGAACCAUAGUAAAGACCAGUAUGGACUAUCAAUACAGAUACUGUAGUAGAACCAUAGUAAAGACCAGUAUGGACUAUCAAUACAGGUACUGUAUGUAGAACCAUAGUAAAGACAGUUGGACUAUCAAAUACAGGUACUGUAUGUAGAACCAUAGUAAAGACCAGUAUGGACUAUCAAUACAGAUACUGUAUGUAGAACCAUAGUAAAGACCAGUAUGGACUAUCAUACAGAUACUGUAUGUAGAACCAUAGUAAAGACCAGUAUGGACUAUCAAUUCAGAUACUGUAUGUAGAAACCAUAGUAAAGACCAGUAUGGACCAUCAAUACAGAUACUGUAUGUAGAACCAUAGUAAAGACAGUAUGGACUAUCAAUACAGGUACUGUAUGUAGACCAUAGUAAAGACCAGUAUGGACUAUCAAUACAGGUACUGUAUGUAGAACCAUAUUAAAGACCAGUAUGGACUAUCAAUACAGGUACUGUAUGUAGAACCAUAGUAAAGACCAGUAUGGACUAUCAAUACAGGGUACUGUAUGUAGAACCAUAGUAAAGACCAGUAUGGACUAUCAAUACAGAUACUGUAUGUAGAACCAUAGUAAAGACCAGUAUGGACUAUCAAUACAGAUACUGUAUGUAGAACCAUAGUAAAGACCAGUAUGGACUAUCAAUACAGAUACUGUAUGUAGAACCAUAGUAAGACCAGUAGGACUAUCAAUACAAAGUGACCAUUUAGAAUGAGGCCCAGGUCAAUGAGAGGAAGUCUUAACAGAACUGGGGGAUGACAGACAGGAAGUGGGGGGUGGAGAUCUAAUAUAUUUUGUGCCAAACACUAAAGCAUGAUAUUGUAAUAAAUCUACACCCUUUUCCAUACGUAGA